CCCCAACAUAGUUGAAGUAAAUCACAUUCAUGUCCAGCACACACGGAACAACAAUACAACAAUACCAUCCUGUUGAAGUUGUGUUUCUGGCUAUUUGACAAAUGUUAAAGUCAUGGAUUAUGGGCUGAUCAUGUUGGUGCUCACAGGAGCACUAGUCAAUGUUGCCUCCGCCCAAAGUCGUCAGUACAACUUUGUGAGCACUCCACUGAACUGGACUGCAGCUCAGAGCUUCUGCAGGCAGCGCUACACUGACCUGGCCACCAUAGAAAGCACAGCUGACGAC